AUGCAACAACCUAAUACUUCAUUUCUGUUCUAAAAUUGUCUUAAUUCGGGCAAGCUAACCCCAAUAAUUUCCGAAUUCCGGAGAACUUCCUGGGAAGUCGAAAGCAUGUGAAUUCCAGCAUUAUCUUCCUGAAAAAUAAAUGAUGGCGGUGCCUUGUGAGUUGCGGUUUAGGAAUACACUUAAAGUCUUCCCUUCUUGCCGUAAAGGGAAUCAGAAGGGAGUGGAAAUUGGUGGACUAGCACUCUACACGCUUCAAAACUUUAGCUCUACCGAAACGUCACCAACGCCUCGGAUAGGGCCUAACUUCAUGACUACGAAAGCGGGGUGGAGGCACCUCAUCAGACGCUGCCUCACCUCUGCCCUGGAAUCAGCGUGAGUGAAAUAGUUACUAGCUUUUGUUUCUCCUUUAUAUACAAUAACACGGCAUUCAUUGCUAUAAAAGGAGGAAAAUUUGCUCGGAAAAUAUCGCAAAUUUAAAUUUUAACUAUGAAGGGGGUGAACACUAUGAAAUAUCUGGUAUUUUUCAUUGCAGCCCUAGUGGUAGCUGUUUCUUCCGAAAUUCCAGUAUAUUCGAAUGUGUCAAAUUUCAACAUAAUAACGAAGAUCGUAAUAAACGACCCACAUCUGAAUGCAACUAUCCCAGAUGACGUUUCUGAUUGGCAACUGCUAAAUAAAACAAUAGUUCACUGAUUU